GGAUUCGAACCCAGGGCCCUCUCACGUCCUAGGCGAGCGCUCUACCGCUGAGCCUCAACCCCAGCCCCGGCUCUUGCCUUUUUAUCCUUCAAAACCCUUUUCCGUGAGGUUCGCCAUAUACUUGCCAGACAUAGCCACUGUGUGGGUUUUUUGUUUUUGUUUUUUUUUCUUUUUCCAUAUCGUGAGCAUGCUACCAUGAAUCUCUUUGGGAUAGGAAAUUUGAAUUCUUACCAUUUUUUUUUCACAAUCGCACACGAGGCUGAGAUGACAAAAAAAAACCCUGUUCAUUUUUCUGCACACCCUCGAGUAAAUCCAUAUUCCUGGGCACGGGGAGCUGUUCUGUCAGUUGGUAGAUGGGGUCCCGUGGACGCUGUCACCCACAGGACUCUUCCCCACACCCCUGGCAAUUCUGGUGCCCACCUGGUGGGGUACAGAGCAGUGUGCCUGGACAUUUUGUGUCCUGCUCCUUUCCUCCAAGACUUGGUGGAUCCCAUCCUUGAUGAUUAAAUAAGAAGCCCCCCCCGGCAAGAUGCAGGCCCCUCCACCCUGGACUUCCCAACCUCCGGGACUAGAAGAAAUCAAUCUUUUUUUUUCUUUAUAAAGUAUCCAGCCUCGGGUGUUCUGUUAUAGCCCACCAAUCUGUCUAAGGCACUGGUCCUUCUUAGGAGCCACCGGCUCACCUGCCUUUCACCACUCUUGGCACUGCCUGGCCCGAUCCCAGGGUCCGGGUCUCGUCCAGUUAGUUAUCCAGAUAAUUCUAGAGAGAUCCAGAAUGAUCUAUGGCUUUCCUCCAGUUCUGUUCCUGUUGAUGUCUCCUUCCUGCCCUCUCAGACCAAACUCCCCCGUGUCUGUCCCCACUGUGACCCCAGCCAACGGCAGCUUCCCAGUGGUCCAUUCACUGCUCACUACUGAGCCCUGGCAGCAGGACAUCCACCUGCAGGCCAGACUCAACACAAGCCACCAGGGCCCAGGGAGUCCAGAGAAGCACAGAAUCAGCCACAGGGGACCGUGUGGUUCUUUCAUAAACCACAGGCUAUUAGGAGAAAGCUCUCCCUGCCUCCGGGCUGGCUGCAGGGGACGCAGAGGGAGCGAAUGGCCUCAAAAAUUUUCCCAUCUCCUCUCCAGUUGGCUCAAGUCUCCGCGCCGCCCGUGUGAAUGCCCACUGUGUUUGGGAGUCCACUCCCGGGGGGCAGUCUGCGGGAAGCAUCUACUAGGUGUGGGGCACCCUCGUAGGUGGUGGGGAACGCAGGCUCAGGCCAAAGGGCCAGUUUGGAGACAGACGAGCUGGCGUUUAGAGAAAUGCAAGGAAUGAGCUGGGCGAAGUGUAAUCCCGGCGGCUCGGGGAGGCUGGGGUAGG
rnacentral:lncRNA from 1 species